rnacentral:rRNA from 1 species
AUACGGAGGGUGCAAGCGUUAAUCGGAAUUACUGGGCGUAAAGCGCUCGUAGGCGGCUUGUAAAGUCGGAUGUGAAAGCCCCGGGCUCAACCUGGGAACUGCAUUCGAUACUGGCAGGCUAGAGUAUAGUAGAGGCAAGUGGAAUUCCGGGUGUAGCGGUGAAAUGCGUAGAUAUCCGGAGGAACAUCAGUGGCGAAGGCGACUUGCUGGACUAAUACUGACGCUAAGGAGCGAAAGCGUGGGGAGCAAACGGGAUUAGAAACCCUGGUAGUCC